rnacentral:rRNA from 1 species
AGGAGGCAGCAGUGAGGAAUUUUGGACAAUGGACGCAAGUCUGAUCCAGCCAUGCCGCGUGCGGGAAGAAGGCCUUCGGGUUGUAAACCGCUUUUGUCAGGGAAGAAACGCUCUGGGCUAAUAUCCUGGGGUAAUGACGGUACCUGAAGAAUAAGCACCGGCUAACUACGUGCCAGCAGCCGCGGUAAUACGUAGGGUGCAAGCGUUAAUCGGAAUUACUGGGCGUAAAGCGUGCGCAGGCGGUCCCAUAAGACAGAUGUGAAAUCCCCGGGCUCAACCUGGGAACUGCAUUUGUGACUGUGGGGCUAGAGUACGGUAGAGGGGGAUGGAAUUCCGCGUGUAGCAGUGAAAUGCGUAGAUAUGCGGAGGAACACCGAUGGCGAAGGCAAUCCCCUGGACCUGUACUGACGCUCAUGCACGAAAGCGUGGGGAGCAAACAGGAUUAGAUACCCUGGUAGU